rnacentral:lncRNA from 1 species
GAUGGCAACCUUCACCGAGCAGCUCAUUGUGAAUCUUCCUAAAGAAGAAUAGGCCCCUCCAGAAUUAGAUUUACAGUUGCUGAAGUUGGUGCUGUUGGCAUGGCUUGUGCCAUUGACAUCUUAAUGAAGCGUAUGACAGAUGGCAUUGCCCUUGUUGGUAUGAUGAAAGACAUAUCAACUGGAGGGAGAGAUGAUGGAUCUACAGCAUGCCAGCCUUUUCAUUAGAACAGCAAAAAUUAUCUCUGUCAGAGACUAUAGUGUGACUGCAAACUCUAAGCUGGCUGUCAAAAAGAGGGAGAGAGCUGACUCAAUUUGGUCAGCAAAAUGGUAUCAUCAUCAAGUUCACAAUUCCCAAUGUUAUGAAGUAUAGUUGAAACUGCAAGCUACUGAUUGUUUCAAACACAGUGGAUAUCUUGACUUACAUGGCUUAGAAAAUAAUGUGGUUUUCAAAAAAAAAAAAACUGAGUUAAUAGAAGUGGCUGUAUUCUGGAUUCAGCUUGGUUACAUUAUCUAGUGGGAGAAAGGCUUGGGAAUUUAACCACUAAGCUGUCGUGGAUGGGUCCUAAGAGAGCACAGAGACUCCAGUGUGAUCACAGGGAGUGGCAUUAAUGUUGCCAGCAAUUCCCUGAAGAAUCUUAACCUAAAACUGAGCACUGACACAGACAAGGACUCAUGGAAAGAGGUUCACAAGUAGAUAGUUGACAGUGCCUAUGAUAUGAUCAAACUGAAAUGUUAUACAUCCUGGGCCACUUGCCUUUCUGUGACAGAUUUGGUGAAAAGCAUAAUGAGGUAUCUUAGGCAGGUGCAUCCCAUUUCCAUCAUGAUUAAGGAUCUCUAUGGAAUCAAUGAUGAUGUCUUCCUCAGUGUCCCUUGUCUCUUUGGACAAAAUUGAAUCUCAGGUAUUGUGAAGAUGACUCUUGACUCUUGAAGAGGAGGCCCAAUU